AGCGUACACGGUGGAUGCCCUGGCAGUCAGAGGCGAUGAAGGACGUGCUAAUCUGCGAUAAGCGUCGGUAAGGUGAUAUGAACCGUUAUAACCGGCGAUUUCCGAAUGGGGAAACCCAGUGUGAUUCGUCACACUAUCAUUAACUGAAUCCAUAGGUUAAUGAGGCGAACCGGGGGAACUGAAACAUCUAAGUACCCCGAGGAAAAGAAAUCAACCGAGAUUCCCCCAGUAGCGGCGAGCGAACGGGGAGCAGCCCAGAGCCUGAAUCAGUGUGUGUGUUAGUGGAAGCGUCUGGAAAGGCGCGCGAUACAGGGUGACAGCCCCGUACACAAAAAUGCACAUACUGUGAGCUCGAUGAGUAGGGCGGGACACGUGGUAUCCUGUCUGAAUAUGGGGGGACCAUCCUCCAAGGCUAAAUACUCCUGACUGACCGAUAGUGAACCAGUACCGUGAGGGAAAGGCGAAAAGAACCCCGGCGAGGGGAGUGAAAAAGAACCUGAAACCGUGUACGUACAAGCAGUGGGAGCCUCUUUAUGGGGUGACUGCGUACCUUUUGUAUAAUGGGUCAGCGACUUAUAUUCUGUAGCAAGGUUAACCGAAUAGGGGAGCCGAAGGGAAACCGAGUCUUAACUGGGCGUUAAGUUGCAGGGUAUAGACCCGAAACCCGGUGAUCUAGCCAUGGGCAGGUUGAAGGUUGGGUAACACUAACUGGAGGACCGAACCGACUAAUGUUGAAAAAUUAGCGGAUGACUUGUGGCUGGGGGUGAAAGGCCAAUCAAACCGGGAGAUAGCUGGUUCUCCCCGAAAGCUAUUUAGGUAGCGCCUCGUGAAUUCAUCUCCGGGGGUAGAGCACUGUUUCGGCAAGGGGGUCAUCCCGACUUACCAACCCGAUGCAAACUGCGAAUACCGGAGAAUGUUAUCACGGGAGACACACGGCGGGUGCUAACGUCCGUCGUGAAGAGGGAAACAACCCAGACCGCCAGCUAAGGUCCCAAAGUCAUGGUUAAGUGGGAAACGAUGUGGGAAGGCCCAGACAGCCAGGAUGUUGGCUUAGAAGCAGCCAUCAUUUAAAGAAAGCGUAAUAGCUCACUGGUCGAGUCGGCCUGCGCGGAAGAUGUAACGGGGCUAAACCAUGCACCGAAGCUGCGGCAGCGACACUAUGUGUUGUUGGGUAGGGGAGCGUUCUGUAAGCCUGUGAAGGUGUACUGUGAGGUAUGCUGGAGGUAUCAGAAGUGCGAAUGCUGACAUAAGUAACGAUAAAGCGGGUGAAAAGCCCGCUCGCCGGAAGACCAAGGGUUCCUGUCCAACGUUAAUCGGGGCAGGGUGAGUCGACCCCUAAGGCGAGGCCGAAAGGCGUAGUCGAUGGGAAACAGGUUAAUAUUCCUGUACUUGGUGUUACUGCGAAGGGGGGACGGAGAAGGCUAUGUUGGCCGGGCGACGGUUGUCCCGGUUUAAGCGUGUAGGCUGGUUUUCCAGGCAAAUCCGGAAAAUCAAGGCUGAGGCGUGAUGACGAGGCACUACGGUGCUGAAGCAACAAAUGCCCUGCUUCCAGGAAAAGCCUCUAAGCAUCAGGUAACAUCAAAUCGUACCCCAAACCGACACAGGUGGUCAGGUAGAGAAUACCAAGGCGCUUGAGAGAACUCGGGUGAAGGAACUAGGCAAAAUGGUGCCGUAACUUCGGGAGAAGGCACGCUGAUAUGUAGGUGAAGUCCCUCGCGGAUGGAGCUGAAAUCAGUCGAAGAUACCAGCUGGCUGCAACUGUUUAUUAAAAACACAGCACUGUGCAAACACGAAAGUGGACGUAUACGGUGUGACGCCUGCCCGGUGCCGGAAGGUUAAUUGAUGGGGUUAGCGGUAACGCGAAGCUCUUGAUCGAAGCCCCGGUAAACGGCGGCCGUAACUAUAACGGUCCUAAGGUAGCGAAAUUCCUUGUCGGGUAAGUUCCGACCUGCACGAAUGGCGUAAUGAUGGCCAGGCUGUCUCCACCCGAGACUCAGUGAAAUUGAACUCGCUGUGAAGAUGCAGUGUACCCGCGGCAAGACGGAAAGACCCCGUGAACCUUUACUAUAGCUUGACACUGAACAUUGAGCCUUGAUGUGUAGGAUAGGUGGGAGGCUUUGAAGUGUGGACGCCAGUCUGCAUGGAGCCGGCCUUGAAAUACCACCCUUUAAUGUUUGAUGUUCUAACGUUGGCCCCUGAUCGGGGUUGCGGACAGUGUCUGGUGGGUAGUUUGACUGGGGCGGUCUCCUCCUAAAGAGUAACGGAGGAGCACGAAGGUUGGCUAAUCCUGGUCGGACAUCAGGAGGUUAGUGCAAUGGCAUAAGCCAGCUUGACUGCGAGCGUGACGGCGCGAGCAGGUGCGAAAGCAGGUCAUAGUGAUCCGGUGGUUCUGAAUGGAAGGGCCAUCGCUCAACGGAUAAAAGGUACUCCGGGGAUAACAGGCUGAUACCGCCCAAGAGUUCAUAUCGACGGCGGUGUUUGGCACCUCGAUGUCGGCUCAUCACAUCCUGGGGCUGAAGUAGGUCCCAAGGGUAUGGCUGUUCGCCAUUUAAAGUGGUACGCGAGCUGGGUUUAGAACGUCGUGAGACAGUUCGGUCCCUAUCUGCCGUGGGCGCUGGAGAACUGAGGGGGGCUGCUCCUAGUACGAGAGGACCGGAGUGGACGCAUCACUGGUGUUCGGGUUGUCAUGCCAAUGGCACUGCCCGGUAGCUAAAUGCGGAAGAGAUAAGUGCUGAAAGCAUCUAAGCACGAAACUUGCCCCGAGAUGAGUUCUCCCUGACUCCUUGA
rnacentral:rRNA from 1 species